rnacentral:rRNA from 1 species
GGAUAACUUCGGGAAACCGGAGCUAAUACCGGAUAAUAUUUUGAACCGCAUGGUUCAAAAGUGAAAGACGGUCUUGCUGUCACUUAUAGAUGGAUCCGCGCUGCAUUAGCUAGUUGGUAAGGUAACGGCUUACCAAGGCAACGAUGCAUAGCCGACCUGAGAGGGUGAUCGGCCACACUGGAACUGAGACACGGUCCAGACUCCUACGGGAGGCAGCAGUAGGGAAUCUUCCGCAAUGGGCGAAAGCCUGACGGAGCAACGCCGCGUGAGUGAUGAAGGUCUUCGGAUCGUAAAACUCUGUUAUUAGGGAAGAACAUAUGUGUAAGUAACUGUGCACAUCUUGACGGUACCGGCUAACUACGUGCCAGCAGCCGCGGUAAUACGUAGGUGGCAAGCGUUAUCCGGAAUUAUUGGGCGUAAAGCGCGCGUAGGCGGUUUUUUAAGUCUGAUGUGAAAGCCCACGGCUCAACCGUGGAGGGUCAUUGGAAACUGGAAAACUUGAGUGCAGAAGAGGAAAGUGGAAUUCCAUGUGUAGCGGUGAAAUGCGCAGAGAUAUGGAGGAACACCAGUGGCGAAGGCGACUUUCUGGUCUGUAACUGACGCUGAUGUGCGAAAGCGUGGGGAUCAAACAGGAUUAGAUACCCUGGUAGUCCACGCCGUAAACGAUGAGUGCUAAGUGUUAGGGGGUUUCCGCCCCUUAGUGCUGCAGCUAACGCAUUAAGCACUCCGCCUGGGGAGUACGACCGCAAGGUUGAAACUCAAAGGAAUUGACGGGGACCCGCACAAGCGGUGGAGCAUGUGGUUUAAUUCGAAGCAACGCGAAGAACCUUACCAAAUCUUGACAUCCUUUGACAACUCUAGAGAUAGAGCCUUCCCCUUCGGGGGACAAAGUGACAGGUGGUGCAUGGUUGUCGUCAGCUCGUGUCGUGAGAUGUUGGGUUAAGUCCCGCAACGAGCGCAACCCUUAAGCUUAGUUGCCAUCAUUAAGUUGGGCACUCUAAGUUGACUGCCGGUGACAAACCGGAGGAAGGUGGGGAUGACGUCAAAUCAUCAUGCCCCUUAUGAUUUGGGCUACACACGUGCUACAAUGGACAAUACAAAGGGCAGCGAAACCGCGAGGUCAAGCAAAUCCCAUAAAGUUGUUCUCAGUUCGGAUUGUAGUCUGCAACUCGACUACAUGAAGCUGGAAUCGCUAGUAAUCGUAGAUCAGCAUGCUACGGUGAAUACGUUCCCGGGUCUUGUACACACCGCCCGUCACACCACGAGAGUUU